CUGCGAACGUCUGCUGGAAAUCUUCACAAUCGAGUGGCUAAAAAUGUUUUUUAUUUAUUACAUUCUUCCCUUAAAGAAUAUUUUCCCUCUGCCAGUACUAUACAGCUACACCUGAAACUGCUGUAAAAGACUUAUGUAAGCUGCCGUAUCAUGCUGCUGCUAAGCGUCCCUGUGAGGCUGCUGAAGACUCAAAACUCUUUAUAAUCAUUAGCAGCACAGCACUUCUAGACCAAGAGGGCUUAAAAAGAGAGAAGAGAGGAAAAAGGCUCACUUACUGAAAGAGACUGCUGUGAUUAAAGAUGAAGGAGGAGGACGUAGAGCAAGUUACACACUCAGUUACAAAGUCACAGAGAGCCUGGAGACUCCAGCAGUUUGUAUUGGUGAGGCAGGUAGUUUUAGCUCAGAGACACAGAUGUUGAUAAAAUGACUGCCUAGCAAACAAUUUGACCCAGUGGGAGUUGUUGACAGCAAGGAUUUACAUGAAUGUUGUGUGAAAAAUGUGAACCAAUAGUACUGUGAACCAUUCAGGUCAGAGGUGAGUGUGUUUACACGGGCAUGGCUAUUUCGGGAGUAAUACAGGAUAUGGUCUAAGACUAAAAAACACACGUCUCUUACGAUAAACAAAGAACUGUUUAGUUAUCACUCUUUCUGUGCUUGAUACUGUAAUCAUACGCCUCAUACUGUAUACUUGAUCGAUGAGUCGCCAAUCUGAUAUCAUCUUUUACCCUCUCUUAAAAAACUCAACUCGCAAUAGUAGAUUUUUUUGGACAUUGAGGUUCACAAACUAAGCCUAUUAAGGUUAUAUGAAUUGUCUGAAGCAAUCCAUAUAGCACCCCUCCCUUCGAGACCGUCUUCCCCUUAUGAUAUAUUUUAAUUGGCUGCCACUCAUAAACAGAAGGUUGGAACAGCAGGUGGGAGGGGCUUCUGCACUCACAGCAGUGGGAAAACGACUGUCUGAAACCUUAUGUUUAAAGCAGCCUGAAGUCUGAGCUCUUGGUUUACAGGGAUUAUCGGCACAAACACUGAUCUCGUUAUUUGAGACAUUGCACACAUUUAAUAUGAGUAUCUGUAAACUUUGAUUACGUUUGAUCUGGUUGUAAAGAGACCUUCAAAGAGAUGAAACUGACUCUGAUACUUUCAGACAGGCUCAGUGCUGCUUUGAGCUUCAUAUUCUGAAAGGUUCAGCACUUUAUUUUCAGAUCCCACAUUGCCUGGGAACCUGCGAGCUUGGGGACAACUGAGUGAUCCUCUGAGGGCCCGCAGCAUCCAUUUUCAUUACUCACCCCAUGCUGCUACUUUGCCUUUUUCAGCAUCACAGCAGCCAUUUAUGGGCAACUCCUCUGGGCCACCACAGCAAUCCAGCUCCCUUUAUAGCAGCCCAGAGAGACCAUCUAUCCCUUCAUCGUCCCAUCAAGCCAUUUAGCAAAUACUCCUAUUGAGUAUGAAAGUGCCAGUUUGUUUAUUUGCCACUGUCAGUUGGCUAGGAGAGGUCCCUAAAUCCUAAACACACACAUCUACCUAUUUAUCAGCUUUGGUUUUAAAUAGUCAUGGAACAUCAAUCACAAUUUUGGAUGUCUACCGUAAGUCUCUGAUUGUUUAUCGAUCAGUUUCCUGCAUGAAUCUUGUCUCGUAAAUCCAUACUCAUCCAUCAUACUGGGUAUUUAAAAAGUGUAAAAAGAGCAGCAGCUACACUGCAGUAAGUGCUCGUUCUUAUAAAAACAACAGAGAGAAACUCAACUUUCUGCUCUGAGAAUAAUUAAUUUCUGCGUAUUACAAAUGUGCAUUUCUUUAUCUUCCUCCUCCUGCAAGACAGACUUCCCUGGUCUACGGGGAAGUAAAAGAAAAAAAACUAACAGUAACGUUAUGUAAUUGUUCUUUUAGCAAGUUUACACAGCUCUCUUCAUCCGCAGCAAGAAAAAAAAUCUAUUUGUUUUUUGUGAAUUUCCAUCUAGACACAUAACCACUGUGAAUAUGCAAGAUAAGUGGGUGGGUGACAUUUACAGAAUCUGCACAGGUUACAGUUAAAGACUGAAGUUUCUUCUUUGUUGGCAUUAUAGUUUUCUGUGUGACUCUGGGACAAAAUCAAAGAUUUACAAAAGGAAUUUCACUGCUGGUUAUGAACCUGAGUUAAUGGUUACAGAAAUCAUCUUUUAAAUAAAAGCACAUGUACUUUUGACAGCUUUCUGUUCUACCCCAGUAACAGAUUGAUGAGUUGAACUCUUUGUUUAUCAUCUAUUAAAAAAAUCUUAAGGAAAAGUGUCCAAUGUUUGAUAUUUCAUGGGUCUCAAGAAUUAGAUUUUGCUGCCAUUAUUGGUCUUGUAUACACUCAUCUGUGUACGAUGACCUGCAAAACUUCAAAUUAAGCAUCCGAAUGAGGAAGAAAUGUAAAUAAAUGACUUUGAAUGUAGUUGCUGGUGCUGGACAGGCUGGUCUGAGCAUUUCACAAACUGCUGAUACACCGGACACAACCAUGUCUGGGGUUUACAGAGGAUGGUCCGAUAAAGAGCAGCAGUUCUCUGUGCAGAAUAACAUCUCUGAACGUGCAGUUUGUCAAACUUUGAAGCAGAUGGCCUGCAGCAGCAGAAGACCACACCUGGUUCUACUCUUAUCAGCUAACAGGAAACUGAGCGAUGGUUCACACAGCUUCAGCAAAACUAGACAACGAAAACCUAAAAACAAGGCCUGGUCUGUUAAGUCUUGAUUUUACAAAGCUCAAUUCAUCUCAAGAUAGUUUCUUAAAUAUGACAGUGAGUUCACUGUACUCAAAUGGACUCCAUAGUCACCAGAUCUCAGAUGUAACAGGGCAGCCCUUAGCGGCUGGAAACACAGUGAGAUGGACUAAGGCAAGUGCAGUGGAACAAAGUAUUUAUUUGCCAUACAGCUCUCCUUACAACAAUUCACUUCGAGCUUCUUCACAGCACAAUAUAUCCUCCUCUAAUGACAACCAGCAGCCUUAAAUAUGUUCAGCUGUCACAGACCAAACCAUUAUUCCACUCUUAGGUAAAUUCUUAAAUCCCAACCUUCCACCACAGUAUACAAUAUAUCAAUUAGAAUAAAUAAAUACAUAAAUACAUUUCACAUUUUCAUAUUAAUAAAUAUUUCACACUUUAAUGUUACACCAAACCCAAUAUUAUAAAAACCCAGAAACCCAAGCACACAAAAAGAUUCACCACACUCUCUUUACCAAUGGUCUCUCCCGGAACCUUUAAAUGGUGUCUGGACCCCCGGGGAAACAUUUGCCCAAACACCCUGAAGAGGACACAGGCAAGAAAGACAACCACCACAUUCCUUGAUGAGGAGCAGCUGUGCAGGAUCUGAAACAAGGCUACCAACUGAUUUUAAAAUUCCCAAUAAAUAAUCAAUAAAUAUUUAAACUUCUUGUGUGCAAA